CAGAGGGUGCGAGCGUUGUCCGGAAUCACUGGGCGUAAAGGGCGCGUAGGUGGCGCUCCAAGUCUGUGGUGAAAGCUCGACGCUCAACGUCGAGUCGGCCAUAGAGACUGGAGGGCUCGAGCACUGUAGGGGCAGAUGGAAUUCCGGGUGUAGCGGUGGAAUGCGUAGAGAUCCGGAAGAACACCGGUGGCGAAGGCGGUCUGCUGGGCAGUUGCUGACACUGAGGCGCGACAGCGUGGGGAGCAAACAGGAUUAGAUACCCUGGUAGUCCACGCCGUAAACGAUGGGCACUAGAUGCUUGGGGGAGCGACCCCCUGAGUGUCGUCGCUAACGCAGUAAGUGCCCCGCCUGGGGAGUACGGCCGCAAGGCUG
rnacentral:rRNA from 1 species